rnacentral:rRNA from 1 species
CCUACGGGAGGCAGCAGUGGGGAAUAUUACACAAUGGGGGAAACCCUGAUGCAGCGACGCCGCGUGAGUGAAGAAGUAUUUCGGUACGUAAAGCUCUAUCAGCAGGGAAGAAAAUGACGGUACCUGACCAAGAAGCCCCGGCUAACUACGUGACAGCAGCCGCGGUAAUACGUAGGGGGCAAGCGGUAUCCGGAUUUACUGGGUGGAAAGGGAGCGUAGACGGCAGCGCAAGUCUGGAGUGAAAUCCCAUGGCUUAACCAUGGAACUGCUUUGGAAACUGGGCAGCUGGAGUGCAGGAGAGGUAAGCAGAAUUCCUAGUGUAGCGGUGAAAUGCGUAGAUAUUAGGAGGAACACCAGUGGCGAAGGCGGCUUACUGGACUGUAACUGACGUUGAGGCUCGAAAGCGUGGGGAGCAAACAGGAUUAGAUACCCUAGUAGUC